rnacentral:rRNA from 1 species
UACGUAGGUGGCAGGCGUUGUCCGGAUUUAUUGGGUUUAAAGGGUGCGUAGGCGGUUCCAUAAGUCAGUGGUGAAAUACAAUAGCUUAACUAUUGAGGUGCCAUUGAUACUGCGGAACUUGAGUACAGACGAGGUAGGCGGAAUUGGCGGUGUAGCGGUGAAAUGCUUAGAUAUCGUCAAGAACACCGAUAGCGAAGGCAGCUCACUAAACUCUUACUGACGCUGAGGCACGAAAGCAUGGGGAUCAAACAGG